rnacentral:rRNA from 1 species
GACGAACGCUGGCGGCGCGCCUAACACAUGCAAGUCGAACGAGCGAGAGAGAGCUUGCUUUCUCGAGCGAGUGGCGAACGGAUGAGUAACGCGUGAGGAACCUGCCUCAAAGAGGGGGACAACAGUUGGAAACGACUGCUAAUACCGCAUAAGCCCACGGGUCGGCAUCGACCAGAGGGAAAAGGAGCAAUCCGCUUUGAGAUGGCCUCGCGUCCGAUUAGCUAGUUGGUGAGGUAACGGCCCACCAAGGCGACGAUCGGUAGCCGGACCGAGAGGUUGAACGGCCACAUUGGGACUGAGACACGGCCCAGACUCCUACGGGAGGCAGCAGUGGGGAAUAUUGCACAAUGGGGGAAACCCUGAUGCAGCGACGCCGCGUGGAGGAAGAAGGUCUUCGGAUUGUAAACUCCUGUUGUUGAGGAAGAUAAUGACGGUACUCAACAAGGAAGUGACGGCUAACUACGUGCCAGCCGCCGCGGUAA